GAUCUGUUGCUUACUACAGC
rnacentral:piRNA from 1 species